UACGAAAGGGGGGCUAGCGUUGUUCGGAAUUACUGGGCGUAAAGCGCACGUAGGCGGAUUGUUAAGUCAGAGGUGAAAUCCCGGGGCUCAACCCCGGAACUGCCUUUGAUACUGGGUAUCUCGAGUCCGGAAGAGGUGAGUGGAAUUCCGAGUGUAGAGGUGAAAUUCGUAGAUAUUCGGAGGAACACCAGUGGCGAAGGCGGCUCACUGGUCCGGUACUGACGCUGAGGUGCGAAAGCGUGGGGAGCAAACAGG
rnacentral:rRNA from 1 species